rnacentral:rRNA from 1 species
AACGAACGCUGGCGGCAUGCCUAACACAUGCAAGUCGAACGAGACCUUCGGGUCUAGUGGCGCACGGGUGCGUAACGCGUGGGAACCUGCCCUUAGGUUCGGAAUAACUCCCCGAAAGGGGUGCUAAUACCGGAUAAUGUCUUCGGACCAAAGAUUUAUCGCCUUUGGAUGGGCCCGCGUUGGAUUAGCUAGUUGGUAGGGUAAAAGCCUACCAAGGCGACGAUUCAUAGCUGGUCUGAGAGGAUGAUCAGCCACACUGGGACUGAGACACGGCCCAGACUCCUACGCGAGGGAGCAGUGGGGAAUAGUGGAAAAUGGGCGAAAGCCUGAUCCAGCAAUGCCGCGUGAGUGAUGAAGGCCUUAGGGUUGUAAAGCUCUUUUAACCGGGAUGAUAAUGACAGUACCGGGAGAAUAAGCCCCGGCUAACUCCGUG